GAAAUGUAAAGCUUUUUGUGUUAUUGAAAUAAAAGGCCAUUCUUUUACAAAGUUUCAUUUUAUAUACAAUUACCAUUUACAAAUGCAUAUAAAGAAAAUAACAAAAAAAAUCAUUUUGACCAAAGGCUGACUUUGGUCAACAAUUGACUUUUUUGUCAACUUUGACCAAAGUCAACACAUGUUUUCUAAAGUCUUGAACUUCAUAGUCUCCAUUCUUCAUUCUUCAUUCUCCAUCAUUCAUCUUCCUUCCAAUAUAGCUUCAUGUGCAAGAAAGCUUUGAUUGCUUUUGACCAUGGUUAUGUAGUCUUCAUGAUGACCAUACUUGGAAGCUUUGAUCAAUGCAAGCAAUAACUAAACAACCCUACAAAAAACAGCCAUGGCAAUGCAUUCAUGUUGUCACAUACAUCCACACAUAACAUACAUUACAAGAACCAAAAUAAUAUGCAUUCAAUGUACAUGUUCAUGCCCAUAAGCAUUACACUCAAUAGCCAUAUCCAAUGCAUUCCCAUUUGCAAUGUAACAGUCCAUGACAAUCCUACUGCAGGAAGAAAUAGAUGACAACAGUUGGUACACGUGGCACUUAAAUGCAAACCACAAGAUACAAUGUACCAUGUUCAUGCAUCAUAACAAAAAAUCAGCAGCCAUGUGCAUUAGCAUACCUAAGUGUAACUGCAGUUUUGAUUCUAUGCAGGCUCAUGUUCAUGACCACUAUCAUAACAAGCAAUAUGCAAAAUACAAUAGUCCUAACACCGAACAAAAGCUUAGUACAUUCAAGUUGCAACUAACACCUAAUUUGCUCAUUUCAAAUAUAGCAUAUUCACAGGGCCAUAACAGUUAACAGUUGCAGACCUUUUGACUGCAAAAAAUGCAUACUAAUUAAUAAUCCAACAUGGAAUGACAACAACAAUUAAUUGAAUCCAAACUACCGCACAACAUAAAAUUCCAAUUAAAACAAAAUUCUAACUUUCAUUAUUCUAACAGCAAAUCUGUUUUUUUCCACUAUAAAUCUAAGCUCAGACUAAAUCCAAAAUUCAAGCUAAAACCAAAUGCAAACCAAUUUCAUUUAAAUUGUAAUCUCUAACCAACUCUUGCAUCUCUAACUGACUGUGAAUUACAACAGAAUUUUAAUUGAAUUUCAAAUGAAUUUGGAAAUAGAAUUGAACACUAUAAAACCACAUUCACGCUUCAGUUCAGGGGAGAGAUUUUUCAUAACAGAUUUUCACACUUCAAAUCACAAAAGGAGGUUCAUAACACAUUUUUUUCAACCCACAUUUUUCAUUCAACACACACUACUCACAUGACCAAAAUUUCACAACAGGAAGCAAGAACACACGCAUACACAUUCGCUCUGAAUUUCCAGAUUUCCAAUCCCUCUCUGAUCUUAAUUUUCUCCCUCACUCGGAGCUCGUUUCGAAACUCCAUUGAAGCUUCAUAUAGAAGCUUCAAUAAGAGUGAGAUAAAUCACUCUUUGCAUCACAUAAGACCAAUUUCGAGUGAUUUUGAGGUGAAUAUUGAAGAAGAAUCAAGAUCGUGAAUAUUACAUGCAUUUUCAAGUGAUUUUCCACUGAGCAUUCAUCUUUUCCGUUUCAAUCUUCGCCUGAACAAACCUCCAUUUCAUAGGUAAAUCUU
rnacentral:lncRNA from 1 species